rnacentral:rRNA from 1 species
AUGAACGCUGGCGGCGUGCCUAAUACAUGCAAGUCGAGCGAACGGACGAGAAGCUUGCUUCUCUGAUGUUAGCGGCGGACGGGUGAGUAACACGUGGAUAACCUACCUAUAAGACUGGGAUAACUUCGGGAAACCGGAGCUAAUACCGGAUAAUAUUUUGACCCGCAUGGUUCAAAAGUGAAAGACGGUCCUGCUGUCACUUAUAGAUGGAUCCGCGCUGCAUUAGCUAGUUGGUAAGGUAACGGCUUACCAAGGCAACGAUGCAUAGCCGACCUGAGAGGGUGAUCGGCCACACUGGAACUGAGACACGGUCCAGACUCCUACGGGAGGCAGCAGUAGGGAAUCUUCCGCAAUGGGCGAAAGCCUGACGGAGCAACGCCGCGUGAGUGAUGAAGGUCUUCGGAUCGUAAAACUCUGUUAUUAGGGAAGAACAUAUGUGUAAGUAACUGUGCACAUCUUGACGGUACCUAAUCAGAAAGCCACGGCUAACUACGUG